GUGGCCCGUAUGGUGCUCAAGUUGUUAUCCUGUACUGGCUAUUUAAGCACAACAAAUGAAUGAGAAAGAUGAGGCCGUGAGGGCUAGAGCAGAAACAUGUAGCCACUGUAUUCACCAAGGACGGAGCCUCUCGGCAAAGCUAGCGGAUGGUCUGUUCCUUGGUGCAUGUGUGUGUGUGUAAUGUGCGUUCAGGUGUUCUUGAGAGAAACCAUAGAAGAGAGAAGAGAGAGUUGUGCGAGGCAGCUCGAGGUAGAAGAAGAAGAGCGGCGCUGCGAGGAGGCGGCGCCAACGAUUGGCAUUAGAGCCUUGUCGAUCCGCGGAAGCGAUGGCGGCGACGACGACGCGGCGGACUCCAUGUGAGGUGGAGGACGUCGGCACGAGGUGGGUGGCCGUCGGCGGCGCGAUGCUGCCGGUGGCCGGUUGCGGUGUGAUGCCGCUAGAUGAUGGCGGUGCGAAGCUGCCACAAGACGACGGUGUGACGCCGAUGGGAGGUACGACGGCACGAGGCCGUUAUGAGGAGAAGACGGCGUGGCGAUCGGCGCCGCGAAGGCGUCGUCCACGUGAAGACAUGGCCGCUGCAUGCGGCAAGAGGUCGUGGUACUCGGCGCCACGACAGCGUCGUCCACGGCAAGACGGCGCAAGGUGGGCGCUAUUGGCAGCACGAUGGCGUUGAUGGUUAGUUGCGGUGCGAUGCCGCAACAUGAUGAUUGUGUGGUGAUCGGCGUCGCGAGGACGUCAUCCAUGAUAAGAUGAUCCAUGGUGACCGGCGCUGCGACGGCGUCGGUGGCGGCCGGCUGUGGCGCUGCGACGGCGUCGACAAGUGGCUGCGGGUGAUCCGUAUGAUGAUUGUGAUAUCAAGAUUAGAAGGGUGAAUGUUAGAGCUAAUCUUGAUAUUUGUAUUAGCAUGUUUGAGUUUUGCAUGUAGUCUAGUCUAGUAUGGUGUUCGUCCGACGAAGGCUUCAGGUGAGCGCGCCAAGGAGGUGAGAGGCCAGGAUGCCGUGUGAGGCGGUGAGCACGGCGAGAUGCCGAUGGUGCUGCGUGAGAAGCGGCAAGACGUAUCAGAGGCUGGAGCCGUGAUGGACUGCAUCAAAUUGGGUCGGGUGAACCGGCCGGUCGUUCUGUUUGUUGGACUAGCUGUUCAUGCGUGAGUUCGUUUAGUCCUAGCCGAGAGUAUCGUUGCUAGUAGUUGAUGCAUGCAUGUAGUUGGCCUGGUCACAAGUGGUUACCGAGUCGUGUGCAACGCUGGAGUGAUUCCAGGAGUGGAGUACGUGGGAGUUAGUGGCCCGUAUGGUGCUCAAGUUGUUAUCCUGUACUGGCUAUUUAAGCACAACAAAUGAAUGAGAAAGAUGAGGCCGUGAGGGCUAGAGCAGAAACAUGUAGCCACUGUAUUCACCAAGGACGGAGCCUCUCGGCAAAGCUAGCGGAUGGUCUGUUCCUUGGUGCGUGUGUGUGUGUAGUGUGCGUUCAGGUGUUCUUGAGAGAAACCAUAGAAGAGAGAAGAGAGAGUUGUGCGAGGCAGCUCGAGGUAGAAGAAGAAGAGCGGCGCUGCGAGGAGGCGGCGCCAACAUCUCCAACAUAUGCGCGCAUGCAUCCGUUUCGGGCGCUCUAGCGGAGGCGCAAAAAACACGCACGCGGCAUAAAUGGUUCAGCGCAUGAAGUGAAACGGCAUCUUCAGCCUAUCCCCACGUCGCCGCUGCUUCCUCCACCUACCUCUAGUCGUCGCCGCCCCUCCCGCGCGUCCUUCCUCCGACGAACAGCGCCCGGCCGCAUAGUGCCGCUCGGCGCCCACAAGGUGUUCAACAAAAACGCUUGCAAGACGAGUGUGUCAUAUGAUUCUUCCGAAGAAGAAUUUGAUAUUGAAGAGGAGGAGGAAGACCUUGCAAUGGUCCUAACUAUGCACAUCAAUAUAAAGCCGAAGCACGGUGGUUCAGUUAUGGGUCGGCGGAAAAUUUGGAGGGAUAUGAUCGAUGUCGACAACAGAUUGAUGAGGCAAUAUUUUAUGGAGAAUCCCACAUACCCCUAGUCGUACUUCCUCCGCGCCAUUUUAGGAUGAGCAUCGAGUUGUUCAGGCGCAUUGCAGAGAAACUGGCGAGCCAUGAUUGGUUUUUUCACCAAAGGAGGAAUGCGCCGGAGAACUUGGGCAUAGCACCUUUCAAAAGGUGACAGCCGCUUUGCAUAUGUUGGCAUACGGUAUUUCCGGCCGAUCUAGUUGAUGACCACUCGGCCAUGGGUGAGAGUCAAGUCAUCAUUGUGUGUCAAGCACUUCGAAGUCGGAAUUCUGCAAGUGUUUGGUCCGGAGUAUUUGAGAUCUCGCAAUGCUGAAGACGCCACAAGGCUUUUGGUGAUGAACAAAGCUCGCGAAUUCACAGGUAUGCUUGGCUUAAUAGAUUGCAUGCAUUGAAAUUGAAAGAACUGUCCUUAGGCAUGGUAUGAACAAUUCCACGGUCAGAAAAAGGGUUCCAUUAUAAUCCUUGAAGCGGUGGCCCAUCAAGAGACUUGGAUUUGACGUGCUUUUUUUGAAAUGCCUGGAUCUUUGAAUGACAUCAACGUUGUUAAUCGGUCACCACUCAUGAAUAAGAUUGCAAAUGGUGAACUGUCACCGGUGCAGUUUGUAGCAAAUGGCCAUACAUACAACUAUGGCUACUAUUUUGCGGAUUGCAUCUACCCAAAGUGCCAAACAUUUGUGAAGCCAUUAAAAAACCGGAAGGUAAGAAAAAUCUAGAUUUCCACAAUGCUCAGGCGGCGGCUAGAAAGGAUGUGGAGAGAGCUUUUGUGAUUUUGCAAGCCCAAUUUGCUAUUAUGAGAGGACCGGCUAGAUUUUGGGAUCAAAAGAUCCCUUGUUACAUCAUGCACGCUUGUGUGAUCAUGCAUAAUAUGAUCAUCGAGAACGAGUGUGGUCAAGAUUUAGACUACUCUAAGUAUGAGCUCUUGAGACAUCCCGAGCGAGUGCAGCGGAGGGCUGCGAGGGUGGCCCGAUUUGCUGCCUCCUAUCAUGACAUUCGACGUGCCGAAAUGCAUGAUGAUCUUCAAAAGGAUCUAAUCAAGGAGUGGUGGGCAUGGAAUGAACGAAAAAACGAGUGAUUUGUAUGUUUGAUGUUGUAUUGUUGAACUAUUUGUUGUUUUGAAAGAUAAACUAUUUGUUUGAGUUGUAAUAAAAUUGAACUAUUUAUUGUUGAUUAUUUUUUAUGUGUUU